CAUCUAUAGGGUAUACAAAUGAUAAUUUUUCUAAAAUAAAAGAUUUAUCCACUUUUUAGGUGAGGAAUAAGGAAACAAUGAAAAAAAAGAUUCUUUGGUUGAGCAAUGAGAGGACGCCACGUCAGCUGUCCUCUGUAGCACCUUAAAAAGCAACAGGAUCACAAGCUUGAGGGAUUGCUACAUAUCCAACAUAGAAGGCAAAAUGGGGGUUGGAGUUUCUUUGCCUCCCAAACCUAUAAACAUCACCAUCUCGGGACCACCAUGCAGAUUACAUAAAUGUCCUUGCCUGAGGAAGGACAUCCAUUGAUUGAGCGCUUUGUGUUCGAAACUAUCAAAACGACCCUCAGGCACACUCCAUAAAAGCUUAAGGACAUCCUCAAACGGUAACUAAUUUUCAUCACUCAAAAAUUACUCUCUCAUCUUCUUCCUCAUAGCAUGUUCAUUAUUUUUAAGAGUUUUAAGUAAGGGUGGCAAGAUAAUCCGGACCCGGACCCGGACCGGACCCGCACGAACCCGGAUGAUUCGGACCGGGUUGAACCCGGAUGAUCCGGAUCGGAUUGAACCCGCACCGGAUGUAUAUUUUAUCCGGAUUCGGUUUUAAUUUUCUUAAACCCGGACUUAUCCCGGUCCGGUUCUGGGUUCACCUGAACUCGGAUUUCCGAAACCCGGACCCGGAUUUUUUGUUUUAAAUAUUAUUUAAUUAAUUUUUUAAAUUAUUAUUUAUAAGUAUAAAAGAAAAAAAAAUGAGAAACAAAACAAACCCUACAUUUCCUACGGCCGCCGCUUCCUCGUGUUCAUUCCCCAUAAUUCAGCAAAUAAAUUCAAAAUCAACGUGGCCCCGAUUCUUUCGACUGAGCAAUUAAAGAAUUGGUUAAAGCUGAUUGAAAGCAUUGAUUUGACCGUACCUCUUUGAUUGCUUAUUCUUCUCAUGUCUUUGACCUUCUCGAAAUCAAAUGAGUUUUUUUAUUAGCCCAAGUCCUGUCGUUGAAGUUUAGCUCAUAUCCCGGUGAAGAAGAGGUCUUGGGUCUGGUUCGGAGAUUUCUCUCUCUCAGUAGUCGGUUCAUCAUCAUCCAUCAAUCAUCAGCAUCACAACAUCGCGACGGUGGCCGCACUUCUCUGCAAGUUUCAAUUUCUACCUUAUGUGUUAAAAUUAGAUUUAUUCUGAGAUUUGGGCUCAAGGAAUUAUGUGGCUUUUUGUGGAAUCAUGUGCUUUUUAUGGAAUCAUGUGGCUUUCUUUGUUUCUUUAAUUUUCCCAUCUUCCUCAUCCUCCACUAUCUUCGCAAGAUCCCAUGAGUUCUAUUUGUUUUUGCAACUACCAAAGAGUCGAAAUUGGCAUGCUUGAAUUUUUUUUUUAAUUUUAGGCAUAUAUCCGGGUUUAAAACCCGCAUUCCGGAAACCCGGACCGGACCCGGAGCUAAAAAAUCCGGGUUAUAUGCAGGUCCGGUAAUUAAAAUUGAUCAUCCGGGUCCGGAACCGAAAAGACUAAACCCGGACCCGGACCUGGAUUUUGCCAUCCCUACUUUUAAGGUCCAUUUGACUUUAAAUCCGCUACCUAUCACUCAAAAUCUAACUUGAGUGUCGAAAUGUGGUUGCCAGCCACCGCUGGCUUGGCCUCUAAUGUUAGCUUUGGCUUUGAUUUGCAGGAUUCAUUCAACUCAAGUUUGGUGGCUUUCAUCUUCAUUUUCAUCCUAUCUUCUUCCCCUUAUCAUUAA
rnacentral:lncRNA from 1 species